rnacentral:rRNA from 1 species
CACGAAUUGCAGACGCUUAGAGUGGUGAAAUUUUGAACGCAUAGCGCCGUUGGGUUUUCCCUUCGGCACGUCUGGUUCAGGGUUGUUUAUAUGUUUACUACAGUGUGGCUUGUAACACUGUUUGUCGAACGAUGCUUGCACGUGCGUGUGUGUGUGUGUGAUCCUCGUUCUAGAUGAGAAAUAUAUUGCAACAGGUAUUUUGGAGCAAUCCAAAAUACACGGAUGUCAUGUGAUGUAUGCAUGCAUGUAUUUGCGUGUAGGUUGUCACUGUCAAGGUGUUCAGCGAAUAAGAAUGCUUGACGGGGCCUGUGAAAUGAGACAACCGUAGUCGCAUGUCAUUUGCAAUGCAACCUGAGCUCAGUCGUGAUUACCCGCUGAACUUAAGCAUAUCAUUUAGC